UCAUUGUGAACUGGAACUCUGUAAAUUUAUGGUAAUAUCCAAAAAAAGCAAGGAAAUCUGUACAAGGCAGUGCAAAUCAAAUGGGGCAACAGUUACUUAUAAUACCAAAAUAUACAAAUUUCAAAUACAAAAGGGAAAUUAUAAUUUUUAUAUCCGAGUAAAAAAAACCCUCUUGCCAUAGUCUCCGACUUCUUCGCAGCGCCAUAAUCUUGUCAGCUUCGCUUCUUAGGCGUGAGACCACGUAGGGGAUGAUGGCGCGGAGGCCUCUUAGAUACAGUAGACCAGGACUUUCGAUAAGAGCUUUGGUUGUUCUCAUUGUUCUUGCUGUGCUGUGUGUGUUUGUGAUCAUCCCCCAUUACGAGAAGGUUGUGUAUUUUCUUCGUCCUAUUUGGGAUAAACCGCCUGAGUCGUUUGAGUACUUGCCACAUUACUAUGCGGAAAAUGUUUCAAUGGAGACACUGUGUAAGCUACAUGGCUGGACAGCACGUUUGGAGCCUCGUCGUGUUUAUGAUGCUAUCAUAUUUAGCAAUGAAAUUGAUCUUCUUGAAUUGAGGUUGGGUGAGCUGCAGUCACAGGUUACGAAGUUUGUGAUUCUUGAGGCAAAUACAACCUUUACUGCUAAGCCAAAGCCUCUUUUCUUCACUGAAAAUCGUGAUAGGUUUGCUUUUGCUGAGGGAAAGAUCACACAUGGUGUGUUUCCAGGGAGUAUUGCAUCUGAUGGAUCAAAGAUGCAUCCAUUUGAUAGAGAGGCAGCACAGCGUAGAGCUAUGAACAGUUUGAUUAAGAAGUCUGGUAUUUCUCCUAACGAUCUCCUAAUUAUGUCAGACACUGAUGAGAUUCCAAGUCGCAAUGCACUGAAAGUGCUGCAGUGGUGUGAUGGAAUUCCUGAUGUGAUACAUCUGGAAUUAAAAAACUAUAUGUACUCGUUUGAGUUCCCACUAGAAUCAGGAAACUGGAAACCAGCGGUGCACAUAUACAGGCCAUGGACAGUUUACAAGCACUCAAGACAGUCCGACUAUGUUCUUUCUGAUGCUGGAUGGCAUUGUAGUUUCUGCUUUAGGACUAUACAGGAGUUUAUCUUUAAGAUGACUGCUUAUAGUCACGCGGAUCGGGUGAAAAGAACUGAUUUUCUUGAUGCCUCCCGAAUUCAAAAAAUUAUCUGUCAAGGAGAUGAUCUUUAUGAUAUGCUUCCAGAGGAGUAUAGCUUUCGAGAACUGUUUAAAAGGAUGGGAUCAAUUCCUCGCUCAACAUCAGCUGUACAUGUUCCGGCUUAUCUAUUAGAGAAUGCUACAAAGUUCAAAUUUCUUCUUCCAGGUGGUUGCGUAAGACAAGGUGACUCUGAAUUCCUGGAAAGGUUCUGACAAUUGUAUGAACUUUUAAGUAAUUAUAUAAAUGACAUAUACUUUCAGGAGUACAUUAUUAGUCAUGCGGACAACUAUUAAGACACUUAGGUCUGCAAUUUAUAGUUGAUUUAGGGACAAGUACCAAUGUUAAAUUAUCUCUCCAAAUUUCUGGUUCCUGGUGGAUGUUUACGCCAAAUGAAUUCUUGGAAGGGUCUUACCAUUUUACAGAACUUUUAGUUAGUUAUAUGAAUGAAGAGGUAGCCUAAACUUUUGCUUCUUGCUACAGCAUGUAGACAACUAUUUUGACAUCAAAGACUGCACUUCUGUAUGUGAGUUAAUGUCAGCCACUGUUAAAUUAUCUCACCUUACCGUUGUAGAUAGAUAAUGUCCACUUCAGGAUUGAACUUUACAAUAUUGGGGUUUUCCUUUUAAGGAGAAAAGACAGCAUCAGCAGCGACUAAUACGAAAAAGGUUAAAUUUUCUGAUGAUCAGCUGUUGAACCUUCUUAAUGAAGGAACCAGGACUUUCGAAUCAGUCACUUGAAGUUCAUAUCAUCUACAAAUGAAAAGAAUGCGAGGGAAGCACUAUUACUCUGUACUUCUCAAGAUUUUAUAGAAUGAAUACAAUUUUAAGUAUUUACACAGGCAUCUGCUCAAUUUUUGUUGUUGCAACACACUUUAUUGUUCUCUUGAUGACUAUAAGAUAUCUCCAUGUC